ACAAGACCUAUGAAUAGUUUCUGGGGAUCAGCUCUCAUGUAAAGCAAAAUAGAGAGAUUUUUAUUUAUUUUUUCCUGUGUCUAUAAGAACAAACAAGUGUUCAAAUCAAAAUCCAUCAAGAAUUUUCUGGCUAUAUCAUCAAGAUUCCGAUAUGUGGGGUCCUUUUGUGAGGUAAGUUGGAUUAGCUUGAAGCCAUGAGUUUCUAUUCCAAAAUGAUGAUUGUACCCAACUCCAUCGAUUCUAUACAUUGAUCUGUCCCCAAUCUAGUCCAAAUUAUAAUGUUUUAGAUCAGAUCAUACGCCACAAAAAUCAGCCUUAGCUUGAUCAAUUCGAUUAAGUUCCAGAUGUAAGUCGGGGCAUUAUGCCAUCUGAACGUUACUCAUCUUUAUGUAAUAUUUAACCUGAAGAGAAGCCCAUUGCACAGUAUGGCAUUCUCUUCUUCUCUCACCAUAUAUAUUAUAUACGACUAAAGAAAAGAAAAGCAGAAAACAGUACUAAAAACUCAAUGAUGUUUAUGUAUGUGGUCCAUCCAUCCACAAUGGAGGAGAAGCCAGAGAAAAAGAAAAAAUUCAAAAAAAAUAGUCCUACUGAAUGGUACCUAGCUAUCAUAGACGCCAAAAUUUUCAAACGAAAAUGAAAUCUGAGGUGACUCUUCUUCCAUCGAAGGAUGUAUUGGUUCACAAGAUACGUACCCAACUUUCCUUGUCUUGAACAAGAUCUACAACGACUGAGAAUUUGGACAGAGUCAUCAGCCAUGGGUAGAUAUGGGUGGUCCAACCUCCGAGACUGGUCCAGUGGUUGUGACUGAAGAUGUGAAGAAAAAGCAAUGGCAGCAGAAACUUCCUGAUCUGCACGUACAACCGGUGGCACCAGGAGCCGGAGGUACCUCCCGUUGCUGAGUUUAAAACUAGGAGAGGUUUUCAGAGUGAGAUGGUAAACUUUAGUGGAGAUGCUAUAACCCAGGACUACUCUGCAGAGGAUAUCAAGCAUGCCCACCCAUCUAUAUUGUGAGUUCCUUAUUAUAAUUUAGCUCCGUACGGUAUUUGAGAAAUUUUCUAGUUCUAGUUCAUCAAGCUUUAUAAGCACCCUUGUAAAGCUUAAUCUUUCUUUCAAGAUGAAAACAAAAGGUUUCCCAAUCAUGCCGGUCGAUUGGUACAGCCUUUCGCAGUAGGAAAUUUCCUCAAGACAUUUAUGUUUGCUUGAUGUUGAAACUGACAUGAUCAACCCAGCUAGAUCAACCGAGCUAGGACAUGGAUUGUCCAUUAUCGUAUAGAUUAGGCGAUUAUGGAGUAAAUUCAAUAAUACGAGGGACGAGAAACUAUGAAGAUUGUAAGGUGAAUUUGAGGGGAUAGCUGUUCAUUUCUUAAGUCUAUAAUUUCCUCUACUGAUAUCUAGAGAUUUUCCUGCCAUGAAUAAACUACGAAACAAUCGUCAUUAGACAUGAAUGUUUGUUGGUGGAGAAGCCCUUUUUUUUUUUUAAGAACUGAUUAUUGGGUAUGAAGGGAAGGAAUAUCUAUCAAAUCGUUGAGGGCCUUCCUAAUGUCCUUCGCUGGAUUUCUUAGAACUCAUUUCCCAAGUGCUUUACCGUUAAGAUUAGGGUUCUUUUUUCUUUUCUUUUUAAAUCAUUGUUUAUUGAAUGCAACAAUGAUUUGAGAUUACAAUCCUAAAGUUCUCUUAGUUCUCUAAUUAUUUAUUUUGAUUCCAUGAAUAUGUUGGUCGCCAUGUCCAAACAUCAUUCUUCCAUGUCUCAAAAACUGGAGGGGCAAUUGGACGAAAAAAGCUUUGGGUAGUUUUGACAAGAUUUAAAACAAAUGUCAACACGGGAACCCAAAGAAUAUCUCUGCAUUUUUUUUAAAUGUGGAGCUCGUGUUUCUCAGACAUUCCAAGCGUUAGUGGUAUUUGUGCUUUUGAUGAAAGCCGGGAAAGACGUCAGGGACCAUUUGGAAAAAUCGUCACACCAUGGCUCCUCCCAACUACAUCGACUAGUGGUGAUGGGUCACCUGCAUGGAAGUCAACCUCCUUUUGUCCAAAUAAGGCUACUGAAUUACCCCAAAAAAGUACACAGCAAUAAUCCCAUGCCAUGAUCUUCUCUUCCACUUACUCAACAUGGCUCCUCCAACUCCAAAAGACUAGUGUUUUUGGAAUUUUGCCCAUAGACUUGACAAAUAAGCCAUGGAAGCAAAACUUUCCUCUCCAAAACCAUUGGCAUUCUCAUUCCCCAAGUUUCAGAGGUAAAAUCUGGGGACCGGAGGUGUCAUUAAAGACGAUGAUUCUGCACUUGAUUUAAAAUUCAUAACCUCCCAGCAGUAACUGUAAGGAUGAACUUUAAGAAGAAACUACUAAUUGAGAUUAUCGUAUAUCCUAUGAGCAAGAUAAUUUUGAGUAGGGCAAUGAUCACUGGUCAGGAAAGUGGUCCAGGUCCAUUACCUCAGCGGACCGAUCUGAGUUGUGGAUGAGUAUGGGUUACCGGCCAAGCCAGGCAAUCUUCUGGUAGUCGAAAUAUAGAUCUUGGGUCUUCUACCUGGAGAUUAAUAGGGUUAUAUAGCAGCAUUUUGACACAGAAAAUGGAGGUCGUAAUUUCCUGACUUGACCAUUUUCCCUGCGCAAGCAGAGCUAUUUGGUAUUUCGAUCGAAUAUAUAUGCCUGCUCACGUCACAUACCAGGUAAAGUUCCUACUUUCUAUCUUCCCUUACCUGCUUGUAAAAGCUUCAAAAGGUACUACACUAGACGCACUCACACCUAUGCAGGGAAAAGGAAUAGAAUGCAUUUCAUAUUUUAAACUAUGCAUAUAAUUAAGAUUUGCAGGCGCAACUCACCCUGAGUAAUUGAAGCUGCUCACACAUAGAACAAAAGGGAAAGAUCGCCUGAAGAAAACGGGCUCCAAACUCUCAAACAAUGUGAGGCUUGGCACUCGCGGCCAUUAAUUAGCAAACCUACCAACAACUGGAAGCCACCACCUUGGAAAUGUAUAAUACGUCAAAUACAGGAUUACCAAAACAAUGAUAUUACUUUCAAUAAUUCUAGUAGCAUAUGUUAGCCACCAGAGUUGGAACCGAACCACCUUCCAUUCAGCAGGAAAUAGUUAUUCAUUGUCAUGGUCAUAUGUAGAUUUAAGAAGGCAUUCCAGAAUGGGAAAAGAUUGUUGGGGAGGCUGCAAGAACAAUUCCAGGAAGAGAGAAUGGUGGUAAUUGUGACAUCAAAGAGGUUCAAGAUAUACCUCCCAGUAUUUGUAGACAGCAAAUCUCAGCACUAAUGACAAAAAUGUGACGUUGAACUCUCAUUCUGUGGACUCAAGCACAUUUCUUAUCUCUCAACAUUGGUAAUAUUGACAAAAAAAGGGCAUGAUGCCUGUUAUCUUGUUAUUUCAGGUGUGAACAAAUCAGAGGUGGAAUGAAAGAGUACCUUAUGCCAGUGGCUCAUACUCCUCUCCAUGUGAACCCAUCAAGGUCGUGGGGGGCAACACUACCUUGAUGCAAGUGUAGCUUACCAGUGAGCAGCAUUCGAUGCAGACCCCUCCAAAUUUGGGCACUCCAAAGAACAGCAUGUACAGAGCAAGCUCGCAGUUCAACUUCCUCCUCACUACCUGGACAUAUUUCACUAUUGGCUUCAAUUAUGCUGGCAAGGGUUGAACUAUAUUUUAGGGCACCAAGCUGUCGAAGCACAGCUGGAACAAUAUAGUCCGCCAUUAUGGUGAUGGAACCAAUGUCAUCAAAUUCUCCAUAUGAUUGGCCUUUAAAGGCACCCCAUAAAUCUGCUACAAAUAUCUGAGCUCUUUUAUACAAGAAUAUCUGGUGGCCUUUGUAUA